UAAAUGGUUAUAAUAAACUUUAACACAGUAACGGUAGAGACAUUUCCAUUGUUCAUAUUAUUAGCUUAAAGAAAGAACAUUUGCACAUUUGAAAGGUUGAAUAGAUUAUAUAUUACAAUGUUUAACCUAUACAUAAAAUGUUGAUCCUGCAUACCUAAAACUUCUAUAAAACAUGCAUAAAGAUUAUCAUUUACAUUUUAAAUGAUAAUCUUCAUGUGAAAAACCUUUAACUUCUUUUCCCUUUAACUUUGACCUGAGCUCAUUUCACAGGACACUUUUUAUAAAGCUUAAGGAAAUGGACUCCCUUCUAUAAGUGGGUUUAAGGAAGCACCACCCAGAUAAAGGCAAGAUAAUUGUAAAUGUUUGGGGAAUAAAACACUUCUUUUGGAA